CAUAGGGGGGGAUCGGGAACGGAUCAUUCAGAUCAUCCUCAACCACACAAGUUCACCAAGCACAAGAACACCUCUCCUCAGGAGGCUGUUCUUCCCGUGUAACUGUUCAUCCUCAGCCCAAGAGGCAAUCCACCACACCACACUGGAGUAGGGUAUUGCACCACAUCGGUGGCCCGAACCAGUAUAAACUCAUGUCUCUCGUUCUUUGGGUUCAUCGAGCUAGGCCUUGUGAUUGUUGCGAGAGCGAUUUAGGGAGAGACAGAUCUUUGUGCGCACCCCAGUGUUCGAACCUCAAGGGUUUUGCCGGAACCUGAAAUCCGACAAUAACUGCAACUGCAACUUCUUUGUAUCUUGAUACUUCUUCUGCAACAUUGAUAGGAGCAUCAGAAACAAAAUCUACUGGCAGUACUUCAGUAUUGUGCUGCAGAAGUGGUUCUGGCACUGGAAUUUCUCUUUGAGGCUGAGGAGGAGAUUCAGCACCCAAAUUGUCACUCUCAGCAGCAAGCAAAGGAUCUUCAGGAACUGCGAAAUCCUCCAGUGGCAGCUGUUCAAUGGGCUGAUUAAGAUCAAAAGCAGCAUGUGCAACAGGUAAGACUGGUUGAAUUUCAGGCAGAACCAGGGGCGCCAAAAGCUCAUCUGGCUCUGGCAUGCCUAGUGCUCCAAUAGCAGACUCAGCAGAGCUAACAUUUGCACUUGGCAAUCCCAAGGAUUAAGUGAGACCACUGUACUCAUCUUCUGGCUGCUCAACAUGCAUUUCAAGAGGUCCCAUCAAAUCAUUUAAUUCUAGAAAUUCUCUAGCUUGAAUUUCCACAUCCACCAGCUGUUGUUGCUGUGGCAUUGCCCAGUGACCCCAGCCUUCAUCUUCCUCAUCCUGUGCUGGAGCUUCCUCAAUAACUGGCAAAUUAUGUUGCUCAGGUUGCAAUAGGUGAAAAGCAACAGGCCCAACCAUAAGAUUGUUCUGAUUGGGGUGAUGGAAUUGCUCUGGUGGCCUUGGAUGAGGGUUGCCAUCUUCGGGAACUGUAUCUUCAUCAGGAGGUGGCACUCCAAUAGGGUUGUCAUCCACAAUCACAACAGGGCAGGUCCAGGACUGACCACUAAAAUUCUUGGCACCAGAAACAACCAGACUAGCCGGGACAUCCUUGAGGGCAUCAACCUUCACUUUCAGGGCAACAACUGCAUCACUAGAUUUGAAUCUAUCCCAGAACAUAAGCUGCCUGAAACUUGCAGUAGCAUUAGACAGUUCAUGAAAACUUCUCAAGUCAACAGGGAAACCGAACACCAUGAGCCACACAUCUCCAAUCAAAUUAAAGUUCUUCCAGUUCAGACCCUCGUUGUGCCUUUGAAAGACGAUGUGAAUGUCAUCAUAGGCAUGCGGCCCUCUAUUAACUAGAAAAUCCCUAUCGGCCGCACCGCGAACAAUCACAUAAGCUUGCCCAAAAGGAGACUUCGUCACAUCAGAGACACCAAUGCGCUUGGACUGCAGAAACUCUAGGAGGAUCUCACGGACAUUGAUAAAACUUACUUCUCCUUGGGGCAUGGGGAUGAUUGUUGCAAUGGCAAGGUCUUCAUUGGCUGGCACAAGAUUGCCAUGGAGCACACGGUGGCACGCAGGCCGCCCUUCCACAUCAAUCGCAUGGAAACCUUCCGGGAGGAAUGAUGCAGGGUCGAAGGGGAACGAAGCCAUUGCCGGCAACCGGAGAGCAGCCGCUUCAGUCGGAACCCUCGAUGAGAGAGCUGGUUGUUGCAGAGGAGAAGGAGAGUGGUGGGAAUGCGAGUCGGUAGCGGCGGUAAUGGCUUGAUUUGACUGAAUAGGGGAAAUGAUGCCCUCUCUAACAGAUGGGCUUAAAUGUGGCGAUUGACGGAAGUCCCGGUCACUAGCCAAAAGUGGGUUCUACAGAAGGGGAGGUUGAAUGCGAGGCAUCGGAUCGGAAAUCGCGCCUCCAAACCUGUAGUUAUUCUUGCAACCGGGACGAAGAUGACCCACACCAAGACAGCGAAUACAGAAUAGGCUGUUGGGCUCCCUAGCAGUCUCGGCCAGCCCAGAGGUUUGAAUUCCCGUGGAUCCCGCCCUCCCGAGAGCCACAUUAUUGGGCGCAGUUAAGACCGGGUUUAACGAUGCCGUUGAUUUGAGUUAGGCGUUCAGAAACUGACAGGGGACGAGUAGCAGCGGAUCUGACCGGUGAUCUAGCCGGAGAUCGAGCAGUGGAGUUGUGGCCGCGAAAGAACCUUGGAGUUUGAACAGCCUCGGCAUAAGAUCUACGAUCACCAGAACGGUUUACCACAGUAUAUUCUUGAUCAAGUUCUUGCUGAUAUAGCCGGAACUCUUUGUGGAAAUCAGGUCCACCAUUGCCCCAAAGGAAAAAACCCAGACUAAAAAGAUCAUUGACGCAAUUCCCCCCUUUGAUGAUAGCAAAACCCACACUCUUGGAUGAAACACUGAACUUGAAGGACCAAUUUUGAAGGCAUGAAACUUUGAAACGAGAAGCAUGACCCCCAAAGCAAGAUUGAAGCAUGAGACUGACCGAAUCAACAUUGAUACGAAGUUUAGAUCGGGUCACCUCUGCCACCAGGAAGAAUUCCUUGAGCUCACCACCUUCAAAAUGAUUGAUUGGCACACCAAAUUGCUUCCAAAUGAAGGCUUCGAAGGCCAAGCCUUGCUCGAACUUGAGAUUAGAGAGAGCCAUCUCGGAGAGGCAGAUCGAACUUGCUCGAGCGGUGGCUGCCGGUGGCCGGAGUGACGGCCGGCAGGUAAUGUGGCCGCCACGGCCAGAGUGGCCAGCGGUGCAGGAGGGGCUAGGCGCAGGUACGUUUUUCGAAAUGAAAUUUAUUCUCUAAAUGAUGAUAAACAAUAGUUGAAAACAUGUACAAAGAAGAAGCACAAAUAACAAAAAGUUCCUUCCAGGCCAUAAUCCAUGCAUGUUAUAUGUCCCCCAUGUCUUUGCCAAUGACCAUGAGUGUCAUGCACUUCAGUUGGUUAAGAUACUAUGAUCUUUCACGUUAAAUCUUCAAAGGUGACAAUUCCAUGUUAAUUACUUUGUAUCUUGAUACGAUGACUUGUAAAAGUAACCAACAAGGUAUUUUUUUCCACACGAGGUAGACAAGUGCGUUCAUCCUGGACUACUAUCGACCAAUUUGAUGGGGCACUCCUUUGCUCUGAUGAGUUAGAUCUCCAGUUAAUUCUUUCUUCCGAAUAUAUUCCUUUUUAUGUGUCUGAUACAGAUGAUGAUGUCCGUGGCUCCAUCGCUGGCGGUGGUCACAAUGCGCAGCCGUAGGAAUGGACAAUAGACAAGCCAACAUGUACUCAGGUGCAUCCUACAACAACACAAUCAAUACUUCUUCCCUAUUUGUCCAAUAUGUUAUUUAUUCCUUUGAUUUAUGUUCAUCCAAGACUAGACAAACAUUUUGAUUUCAUCUUUGUGCAAUUACACAAACCAAACAAGGAAAAGAUGUUUCCAGUUUUUUUAAUAACAUAUUUAUCUUGGUGAUGCCAAAAACCCUUUUAUAGUUGCUAUCAUUUAGUUUUCCCCUGCAUCUCUAUUUUGAAAGUGCAUGGAUAGUGAGAGCUCAAUCUAUAAUUCCUGAUACUAUUGCAAGCUGGUAGAUUGGAGCAAUUUUAGAUGACUCACAGGUUUCUGUUACUCACUUAUUAUCUCUACUCCUAGUUAGGUACAUCAUUCGUUCGUACCCCCUCCCAUCGAUCGAUCACACCUCCCCCAAUGUUUUACACUGUCAAAUGAAGACGUCACCAGGCCCUCGCACCCACUGUCGGCCUCCUCCCCCCACGCACUGCUCUGGCGCCAGCCUCUCCUGCGUACCUCCUUACCCCCGCCGGACGACCACGACACGUGCCCCACCGCCGCCAAGUGCCUCGGUGACGAUGAUGCCCAUUGGUAAGUUCAACCACGGCGGCGCCUUCCAACUCACUGUCCAUGCGCUGGACCUCCUUGCGGCCUACACUCUCGUUCCUCUUCGGCAACUUGUCCAAGUCCGAGCUCGCGGGCAUCACCGAGAAUACCAAGUUCGGCUAUGGCGUCGUCGUCAUCUCCAUAGUCGACGCACCCCUCAGGUUUGGGGUCUCCGCCAGGGGCACGCAGGACUAUAGGAAGGCCGACACCAAUGCUCUGGUGGUGCUCCACCAGUCUAACACUGGUGAGUACCUUUGCAAGGAGGAGGAGCUCAUGUGAGGUCAGAUUCAUCGUUAAGACAAGCCCAAUUUAAGUGAGGGUGAGUACCGAUCUGGGUUGGGCACAAUCUCCUCGAGGGCGGCACCAAGGUUCACUACCUAAAGAAGACCGAUGUAGUAAUUGACAUCGUAGAUAACUGGGUGAAGGUGUUCAAUGAAGGAGAUUCAGAGUCAUCAGUGUAGUAUGGAAACGAUGCACAUGCUGUCAUGGUAGUAGUUGAGGUGGUGUAUAUAUCAAGUGAUCUAUUCUAUAGGCAUUUUCUUUAGGUGUGAUGUUUGAUUUUAAGCAAAUCACGCUUGUUGUAUAAGUUUCUGCCCAUAAUGAUUUGCAGCGAACCUGGAGUGCGGCUUGAUCCAAUGGCUCGAUUGGAGCACUCAAUUGUGAUGAAGCUGUAAACUAGACUUGGUCAGCAGAAAAAAAAUUAGACGUUGCCACCAACAUUAAACAUAACUUGUCAUCUCUCACCAUCAGAUGUAGAUUGAGUCUCUUAAGAAAGUUAAUGAUGUUUACUGAA